CGCAGCCAGCGGGACGGGGGGGCAGCCAGAAUGGGGGGGCAGCCGGAGAGGGGGGACGCAGCCAGCGGGACGGGGGCAGCCAGAGCGAAGGCGCACUGCCCGAGUCCGGGGCCAGAUCGUAACUCAGAGCCCGCUGGCUGCAGGCCCCGCCUUCUGGCCCUGUCACCCCGUGCUUCCACCUCCUGGGGGCAUCCCUGCGCCCCAAAGACAAGAGGCGUUGGAGCACUUUCCAGGACUUUGAGCCGCUGCCUCAGUUUCCUCGUCUGUAAGAAUGCGCUGAGGACAGCUCCGGCUCACGGUGAUGUGGAGGACCAAUCCCUCAGGCGCCUUCUGUGCGCCUGGAGGCGGCCUGAACCUAGACUGGCGGUCAAACACCGGACAGGCCCUGCCCUCCUAGAGCGUAAACUCUAAGGGACAGCCCAGAACCGGAAGCAGAAAGCGCAGUGGGGAGGAGAACGCCUACGACUGCGGGCCCGGCUGGAGAAUUACGUCACUCCCCGCCCCAGUCUCGGCCCCUCCUCCUGGGGCCGCUGCAGAACCCCGGAGCAUGCUGGGAAACUCGAGAUGCGCAGGCGCAACUUCUCCGACGCUUCCCGGUGGUUGGUUCAGCCCUUUGUUCUUGGGCCCCGCUGGGUGAGUGGGGGGCGGGGAGGACGUGCGGAGGGAGCCAGUGCGCAGGCGCGGCCCGGCUCCCGGCGCCCAGGGAGCCCCUCCUCCUUACUCCCCGGGUAGCCCGAAGACACCCGCGGACCCUGCUCGGGCCAGACUCCUGAUUCGGAAGAGAAGGGGAAGACAUCAUCCUUGUCCCGGUUUGCAGCAGACCAAGGCUUGGCCCAAGCAGGGAGCCCAGAGCCAGAGGACAUGGCCCCCGGGACCCAGAGACCCCCGGCUCAGGAGUCGGUGACCUUCCAGGACGUGGCCGUGGACUUCACCCUGGAGGAAUGGGGCCUGUUGGACCAUUCUCAGAAGGCGCUGUACAAGGAGGUCAUGCUGGAGACCUCCCAGAACCUGCUUUCUCUGGGGCUUCCAGUUCUCAGAGAAGAUCUGAUGUCCCCCCUUCAGCCCAGGGGAGCGGCGGGGGGGCCAGCGCAGGGAGGCCGGAGGAGCUCCUGUCCAGCCUUUUGUGUAGCGUCGCUGGGAACCCGCCCUAACUUGGUGUUAUGGAGAACUGGGAGACCAACCCAUUUUCCUGCCACGAUCCAUACCUCAUCAUUUUGGAAUAAGGAACAUCUCAAAUUCGAUAUCCCAUAGCAUUUACAUCUGCUUGCAUCAUCCUCAGAACAGCAAUAAAGGGUGCCCCACUAAGAGCAGAUGAUUACAGAACCGGAAUACCCAAAGAAGGGCCAUCAGCAAGCACAGCGAAUGCCCUGUAUCAUCUCACCCCAGAACUAGGAGGAGGAUUUCAGACUGAUGAAGAGAAGGCGUAUGGGGGAGGUGACAUAUGAGUCAUCUUCAAUUAUCUAGAGGAUUCUCAUGUUUUAGAGUUGGAAAGAAGGUGCAGGAAGCCUGAAGAAGCUGCAGAGGUAAGUCUAGCUUGAUGUAAAUAAAGAAAGAUUGUUAGCAAUCAGAGCUUUCCAGAAGCAGAAGCUCAGAUCCCUCUUUCUGGAAGGUCCUCCCUAAGGGCUGGGCGACUGCUUGUCUGACAGCUCCCACGGCAGCGAGAGAUGGAGAGUCCUGGCCAGGCGACACUGCCGAGUCAUAAAGUUAAAAGGGAGCAGGAGGCUGUUCGGGUCAAAGGGGAUGAACUUGAUCUUUAGCAAAAUCACUUUUCAGCAGCCAUGUGGGGAGGAUGGGCUGGAAUGGGGAGAGAAACAAGGCAGGGAGACUGCGGAGGUGGCUUUUGCCAUGGUCCAGAUGAUGAAGGACUGAACUAGGGUGAGGGCACCUGAGAAGAGGACAGAGGUGGAAGAUGUUGGUGAGGGCAUCUGAGAAGAAGAUAGGAGCAGAAGAUGUUGGGAGGGCAGAAAUUUGGACAGCUGAUUACAUAUAAUAUAUGAGGGAGAAAAUUUGUGAAAAUGGUGACCAAAAGAAAGAUAGUGUCUUUGACAGAAAUAAUUUAGAGAAAAGUGGGUUUUAUGGGAAAGAGAAUGACCUGUUUGCAGUAGUUUGAAUUUAAGAUACUUAGGGGAUUUCUUGUUUGAAAUAUCACUGGGUAUUUGGAGAUGCUCAGAAGAAGGAUAAAAGAUACAUAUAUAGACUGCAGAAUCAUCCACAUAGAGAUAAUUAAGGUUUUGACAGCUGAUUAGGUCAUAAAAUGAGAGAAGAGAAGAGAAAGGAGUUCAUCAGGAGAUUAGGAUGAACACUUACCACUGAGGACACAAAAAUAUGGAUGACCGAGAAGGGGGGAUGCUGGGGAGAGGGAAGAGAAGCCAGGGAGAGCGAGAGGGACCAGAGCCCAAGUGGGUAGUGAUUCACAAUCAGCAAAUACUGAGGAAAACAGAAGGAGGAAGGGUCAGAGCAGUGACUUGAAAUCAGCAGCUUAAAGUGAGCAGGAAAGUCAGUCACACUUUGGAGAGAUAAAAGGCAAGUGAAAAGAGAAAAAGGGAAAGAAUGGAGUACCAAAGAUUUGUGAAAGAGAAAAGGUAAAAGGGAAUAGUUGAGGGAAUGGAGGUGUCUCUUUAUGGUUUUUAAGAAUAGGAAAGCAUUAGCCAUGUUUAUAAGCUGUAAAGGAAAAUUUGAAAGAAAAAUAGGAGAAAUCUGAAGAAGGGAGGGCAUAAUGAACACUGUUAAAUGAUCUUCAGAUGCAGCCAAGGGGAGAAGGAAUUUAUAAUGAAUGGCCUCUUCUCAGUGAACUAUGGGGAGACGGUCUCUGCAGAGAUAGGGAGGCAGAAACAAUAAAAUCCCCAACCCCCAUCACUCAAUAAACUGGAAAAUAUCAAUUACACAAGAAAGAACACUAUAUCUGACGAGAUUUACUCAGAACCCUAGGAAGUAAUUACAUCUCAUCCCAUUUAAAACAGUAAACAACCUCCACAGUAAUGGUCAUGCCAUUCAAAACUUAGGUGAUCAAGUUCCCUUCUUUUCAUGAAAAAGAGACCGUAUGAAUUAUUUAAAGAAGCAACACAACAUAGCAAUGGCCACCAGAAAGUAUUCUAGGUUUUCCAUUGUGAAAAUUCAAAUUAAAAAAAAAUAGACAAGGAGAUGAAUCAUAUUUUGAAAAUUCAAAAUUAUAACAGUUAAUGCUGGAUUAUGUGAAUGUUCAUAAUAGUCAAGAAAAAUUCUAAUUUAAAAGUUUAAUGCUGGUGGGAUUGGGGGAAAAUAGACAAAUAUAAAUUGCUAAAGGUAAGAAAUAGUAGCAUCUUUUGGCAAAGUAAAUUGAGUAGACUACAACAAAAUUACAAAAGCUGUUCCCACCCUGGGAUGCAGGGAUGCUAUCAAUUAGUCACCAGGUGGGACUCGUGGGGGGCCACCAAGAAUAACCUAAGGGUGCCACCGAUAAGGAGACAAAGACAUUCCCCUGCAAAAGGCUGAGAAGACUAUUAUUUGUCAUAUCGAAAACUUUAAAAUAAGCCGUAUGUCCAAUAAUGACCAGGGGCAAAGGAAAUUGUUACAUGCUUUUAAUGUACGGAAUUAAGACAUAAGAAAAUAGAGAUGAGAAUAAUAAUUAAGAGAAAACUCAUUAGAAAUGAGAGAGAAGGGGGAAACAGAAUUAGUGCCUACAAAGCACUACGAUGUGAAAAAUAGUAAAUAGGAGACUCUGAAAUCUAAAAAACACAGAAGCAAAGAGUUCACAAACAGCCCAGGAUACAAACGAGACCUUUGUCAUACUAUGCUGAUCAAGUUAGUUUGUACUUUAAAAUAAAGCGGUGGUGACUGGGUGAGAUCA